rnacentral:lncRNA from 1 species
GGAGAGAUCACUUGGCUCUCGGGGUCUGAGAGACCAAACUGGGGGUGGGGCGGUCCCCGACCGCGCCGCGCCGGGAAGGAGGCUGGGCGCACUCACCCGAACGAUGUAAGAGACCCCGGGCCCCAGGACCCUCGCAUCGGGGUGCAGCCAGCCGUGCGCGGGCUUGUGAAUGAAGCCGCCCUUGCGCACCCACUCGUCGGCGACGUCGGGAGUUCCCCGCGCGCCCCGCGACCCCGAGCCCCGGCAGCGGCCGAGAGCUGGUAGCGGACAGGGCGCGGCACAGCGCGGUUCGCAGGCACCCAGCACGGCGGCCAGCGCGGGGACCCCAGGCUCGGGCUGCGCCUCUGCCGCCCCCGCCACGCGCGCAGCCGCCGGACCGCGGCCCAGGAAGCUACCGGGCGCCGCGAACUUCCACUGCGGCAUGCGCGGUAGCAGCGCGCAGAAGGUGGUGGGCGCCUCGGGCUCGGGGGCCGCGCGGCCACCGGGACCCUGCGUCAUGGCCGCGGCCG